CCCUAAUACUCAGAGCCUCUACUCCAAGUAACAGAAAUUCUGACUUUUCUGAUCGGUAUAACCGAUCAACGAACCGAGUUACCCUAGGGAAACAGCGCAAUCCCCUCUCAGAGCCCAUAUCGACGAGGGGGUUUACGACCUCGAUGUUGGAUCAGGACAUCCUAAUGGUGCAGCCGCUAUUAAGGG
rnacentral:rRNA from 1 species